rnacentral:rRNA from 1 species
AUCAUUUAGUGGGGAAUAACUGUUGGAAACGACAGCUAAUACCGCAUAAUAUUGCUGGAUAAUUUCCAGUAAUGAAAGGAGCUUUCAAGCUCCGCUGAUUGAUGAGGAUGCGGCGCAUUAGCUAGUUGGUAGGGUAAUGGCCUACCAAGGCAAUGAUGCGUAGCCGAUCUGAGAGGAUGAACGGCCACAUUGGGACUGAGACACGGCCCAAACUUCUACGGAAGGCAGCAGUAGGGAAUUUUUCACAAUGGGCGAAAGCCUGAUGGAGCAAUGCCGCGUGACUGAUGAAGGUCUUCGGAUUGUAAAGGUCUGUUGUAAGGGAAGAAAUGGUAAAACAGGAAAUGGUUUUAUCUAUGACGGUACCUUACCAGAAAGCCACGGCUAACUAUGUGCCAGCAGCCGCGGUAAUACAUAGGUGGCAAGCGUUAUCCGGAUUUAUUGGGCGUAAAGGGUGCGUAGACGGUUUUGCAAGUCUGAGGUUAAAUUUAGGAGCUCAACUCCUAAUCNCCUUG